CCCGCCAGAGUCUCAGGCGCUGCGGGCUCCCGGAGUUUGGAGCCGAGGUCCAGCUGCCGGGAAUCCUGUCACGUCUGCCUCGCGCGCGGUGUCGGGUCCCGGCCCCUGACCUAGCGGCCAUGUGCUGGGUGGCAGUCCCCUUACCGGCUGCCUUCGCCAAGACGUGGGAAGCCAACCCCCACCUCACCCCCCCGUUCCUCAGGCCCGCCUGGACCCUCCGCCAGGAAUAAUGAAACCCAGAGAGGCGGAGGCCUGGCAGAAGCGCUUAAGCAACAAAGACAAAUAGACAUCAGGGACAGACAGCGAAUAAGAAUGGAUUGACCCACAGGUAUCUUUGCCGGAGGCUCAUUUUAAAAGGUCUGGUGAAUGAGCCCUGCCUUGAGGAACUGUUAUGGAGAAUUAAAGCUCCUCAGCAAAUUCCGAGACUGCCCAUCCUCACCAGCUCCAGGCCAGGUACCACACCAAGAAAGGCAGGGGUGUCAGGAAGCACCCGCCUUUAAGUUGUUGUCGUUCACUUGCUAAGUGAUGCCCAACUCUUUGCAACCCCAUGGACUACAGCAUGCUAGGCCUCCCUCCCUAUCUCCCAGUUUGCCCAAGUUCAUGUCCCUUGAAUCGGUGAU